GCAAUACCCACCUCAACCGGAGGUGGAGCAUGGAUUCCCGAAGGAAUGUUAUUGUGGUGCGAAGCCUUUUUUAACCAACUGCUACAACAGAAGGUUCUUCACAUGUCCAAAUGUCGAUGAUGGUGAGAUGCAUAUUCACAAGUGGUGGGAUGUGGCUGUAAUGGAGGAGUUGAGGGACAGUGAUAGACGAUAUGAAGUGAUGGCUGAGAAGGUAGAUUACUUAACCUUGUUCAAUGAUGAGAGUAACGCAACUGAACAGAAACUGGUAAGGUUGGAGAAUGUAGUUAAUGAGAUAUGUAAGGAAAAUAAGUUAAGAAAAUUUACUGAUUUGCUGGUUGUAGGUGUAAUCAUCAUUUUCACAUGUAUUUUGUUCAUGUUGGUGUAAUGAUUUACACGGGUACUUGUUGUUUUCUUAUCAUGUAUGUUGUUUUGUUUUGGUCUCUCACGGGUAUUACAUGUAUUUUGACUACGGACGUGUUGGUCUCUGUCACGGGUACUUGUUGUUGGUGUAAUCAUGUAUGUUCUUUUG